UCCUACGGGGGGCAGCAGUCGAGAAUUUUUCACAAUGGGCGAAAGCCUGAUGGAGCGACGCCGCGUGGGGGAUGAAGGGCUUCGGCCCGUAAACCCCUGUCAUUUGCGAACAAUUCUUUUCCGAUAACACCGGAGAAGUUGAUGGUAGCGAAAGAGGAAGGGACGGCUAACUCUGUGCCAGCAGCCGCGGUAAUACAGAGGUCCCAAGCGUUGUUCGGAUUCACUGGGCGUAAAGGGUGCGUAGGUGGUGAGGUAAGUCGGAUGUGAAAUCUCUGAGCUCAACUCAGAAAUGGCAUUGGAAACUACCUUGCUUGAGGAUUGGAGGGGGGACUGGAAUUCUCGGUGUAGCAGUGAAAUGCGUAGAGAUCGAGAGGAACACCAGUGGCGAAGGCGAGUCCCUGGACAAUUCCUGACGCUGAGGCACGAAAGCUAGGGGAGCAAACAGGAUUAGAUACCCCGGUAGUCCG
rnacentral:rRNA from 1 species